UACGUAGGUGGCAAGCGUUGUCCGGAUUUACUGGGCGUAAAGAGCGUGUAGGCGGCUCGAUAAGUCUGCUGUGAAAGUCCAGGGCUCAACCCUGGAAGGCCGGUGGAAACUGUCGGGCUAGAGUCCGGAAGAGGCGAGUGGAAUUCCCGGUGUAGCGGUGAAAUGCGCAGAUAUCGGGAGGAACACCAAUGGCGAAGGCAGCUCGCUGGGACGGUACUGACGCUGAGACGCGAAAGCGUGGGGAGCAAACAGG
rnacentral:rRNA from 1 species